CCUACACGACCGUACCGCAAACCGACACUGGUGCGCGAGAUGAGUAUUCUCAGGCGCUUGAGAGAACUCGGGAGAAGGAACUCGGCAAAUUGACACCGUAACUUCGGAAGAAGGUGUGCCUUUAGUAGGUGAAGUCCCUCGCGGAUGGAGCCCAAUGAGGUUGCAAAGAAUCGGUGGCUGCGACUGUUUAAUAAAAACACAGCACUCUGCAAACACGAAAGUGGACGUAUAGGGUGUGACGCCUGCCCGGUGCUGGAAGAUUAAGUGAUGGGGUGCAAGCUCUUGAUCGAAGUCCCAGUAAACGGCGGCCGUAACUAUAACGGUCCUAAGGUAGCGAAAUUCCUUGUCGGGUAAGUUCCGACCUGCACGAAUGGCGUAACGAUGGCCACACUGUCUCCUCCCGAGACUCAGCGAAGUUGAAAUGUUUGUGAUGAUGCAAUCUCCCCGCGGAAAGACGGAAAGACCCCAUGAACCUUUACUGUAGCUUUGUAUUGGACUUUGAACGGAUCUGUGUAGGAUAGGUGGGAGGCUUUGAAGCCGGGUCGCUAGAUCUGGUGGAGCCAACGUUGAAACACCACCCUGGUGCGUUUGAGGUUCUAACCUAGGCCCGUUAUCCGGGCCGGGGACAGUGCAUGGUAGGCAGUUUGACUGGGGCGGUCUCCUCCCAAAGCGUAACGGAGGAGUUCGAAGGUACGCUAGUUACGGUCGGACAUCGUGACGAUAGUGCAAUGGCAUAAGCGUGCUUAACUGCGAGACUGACAAGUCGAGCAGAUGCGAAAGCAGGACAUAGUGAUCCGGUGGUUCUGUAUGGAAGGGCCAUCGCUCAACGGAUAAAAGGUACUCUGGGGAUAACAGGCUGAUACCGCCCAAGAGUUCAUAUCGACGGCGGUGUUUGGCACCUCGAUGUCGGCUCAUCUCAUCCUGGGGCUGUAGCCGGUCCCAAGGGUAUGGCUGUUCGCCAUUUAAAGAGGUACGUGAGCUGGGUUUAAAACGUCGUGAGACAGUUUGGUCCCUAUCUUCCGUGGGCGCUGCAGAUUUGAGGAAGCCUGCUCCUAGUACGAGAGGACCGGAGUGGACGCACCUCUGGUGUACCUGUUGUCACGCCAGUGGCAUUGCAGGGUAGCUAAGUGCGGAAGAGAUAACCGCUGAAAGCAUCUAAGCGGGAAACUCGUUUCAAGAUGAGAUCUGCCAAGGCCUUGAGCCCCCUGAAGAGUCGUUCUAGACCAGGACGUUGAUAGGUCAGGUGUGGAAGCGCAGUAAUGCGUUAAGCUAACUGAUACUAAUUGCUCGUGCGGCUUGAUCAU
rnacentral:rRNA from 1 species